AAUAGAAUAGGUAAGCAUGAUGAUGGAGCCGGUUGCCAGCUGGCUACUGCUGCAACCACCUCCUCCUCGGACCGCGACGCUCUUGUGGGCAUCGGGGGGCAGCGGAGGCGAAGCGUUGUAGGCAUCGGGGAACAGCUGAGGCAAGGCGUGGAGGUUGUUCUUGAGGAAAUCCAUGAGCUUGUCUGGAUUCUUCAUCGGAACUCUGGCCUCAAGCUUCACAAGCUGAGCCAUCGUUUGGAUGUCAAAGCUUGAAAGUAGUAUGUGUGAGGC
rnacentral:lncRNA from 1 species